GCCUCGGUGGUGUAAUAGAAAGCACGGCAGACCGGAAUAUCUGUAAGUGCGGGUUCGAGUCCCGCCUGAGGUU
rnacentral:tRNA from 1 species